GUUGAGAUUGGUCCACCUCCAGGACCUGGUCUUGUUCUCCUUGACUUGUUGCGGCGGGAGGGAAAAACUCCGCGUCCGCAGGAAGACUCGUAGCGUCUUGAAAGUCAGGGCGAAGAAAAGGAUUGACAGCACAGGGGCAGGUAGGCUGUGAGUUCCGAACCUCAAAGAUCAGGAGAGCUGCAGUUUUGAUCCCUGGUUAAGGGAAGACAGAAGGUACCUGGACAGAUUUGCUACAAUUAUCCAAUAUAUUAGCUGUUACAGGUACCGGUCAUGGAACGUGGACAUCGAUGCUAGAAGUAACGGCCGAUACACCUGUGUCGAAAGGAAAGGAUAGAAAAGCCCUCCAUCGGUAUGAUUUUGGCUUCAGGGUUUGAGGUGAGAUGGCUAAAGCAGAUACUGUGAGGGUGGCUGGGGUCCUGUGGGGUCUUUGAUCUACAGUGGCACUCAAACUACGGUUCUGCGUGGGGGUGUAUUCCCGUUCUUGGAGCUCGCUGAUCGGCUGUGUUUUCGAUAUGUCCUGGUUUGGCCUGAAGUCGGGUGCUUUUGGGGUGCGGCCUUGCACGGCCUUGUGGACACAAAUUCUCACCGGAGUCACAAACUGAAUCGUAGCAGGAGCUAGAACAUCGAAGACAGCGAAAGCAGCUGUUGGAGGCCUCUAUACUCAGUGAUCAAUCGCUCUCUCUCUCUCGAUGGUGAGUGAGACUUUGCUGCUGAUUCUUCAGUUGGGGAACUCAAAAUAUAAACCAAAACUUCAGACUGACUGUAACAUCGAAACAGUGACUGUCUCCCCUCUCGCUGUAGAAGGAACGAUAUCUGUCUUUCCCUUGCUAGUGAGAGAGACUGAGCCUGUGGGAUGUCAAGAUGUUGGAGUGAAAAGUUAAUUUUUGAAGGACUGUAGACCAUGGUCUCUCUUUAGGGGCUUUGCUGUUGGUUGCAUGGUGGGUGGUGGGAAUGCUAAUAUUUUAGCCAUAUAACCAUAUAAUAAUUACAGCACGGAAACAGGCCAUCUCGGCCCUUCUAGUCCGUGCCGAAGUCUAACUCUCGCCUAGUCCCACUGACCUGCACUCAGCCCACAACCCUCCAUUCCUUUCCUGUCCAUAUAGCUGUCCAAUUUAACUUUAAAUGACAAUAUCGAAUAUGAAUCAAAUUGUUCCAACCUACGGUCAACAGAUGCUGUUGUCUUCUCCACUCUGUAAACGUCCACUGCAAUUUCCAUCCAUGCGUCCAAGGCCAGGCUCCCCCAUGACAUCCGCCCCCCCCCCCCGGCAAGAGUCCCCCCACCAGCCACCAGCAGCACAUUCACCAAACGUUCACCUCCCUUCAACCAUUCCCCAGGCACACACCCAAAAUAUAUGGUCCCACUUUCCAAAGGCACCCCACAGCUAAAGACGUCCUGUAGGGCAUUGCGCAUCCCACUCCAACAGUCCCCGACAACGGGGCAUUCCCAGAAAACAUAACAAUGGUUUGUAUUUUGACCUCCACACUUUCUCCAGCAAACAGGGAGGCCACCACCACAAUGGGAUUCCUGAGAGGGUGCAACAAAACGUCCUACCAAGCUUUUCCAUCCGAGCUCCCUCCAUCCCUGCGAACCAGCACGCCUCCACUGAUACCUCCGUAUUACUGUCCAUUCUUCUUCAGAUACAACUAUCCCUCCUUCCCUCUUCCACCCCGCUUCAAUGUAUGAAGUCGAAUGUGCCCCAAGAUUUGACAAACCUUUAUACACGUUUGAAAUGAUUCUACCACCGUUAUCUGAAUUAUAUGCUUCUGUGAGAAUAAGUGGGGGGGAGGGUUGAUGCUGCUUGCUGCUACUUGUGCAUGUGAGGAGGUAGGGGGCUUUGGAGUUCUUAUGUUUUUUUUCCCUGUCAAUCAUUCUCUGGGGUUUUUCUUCUGUUUUGAUGAUGUAUGUGGAGAGUAAGAAUUUCAGGUUAUAUCAAAGGCAGGAGGAGAAGAUGGCGGCGCGCCUGCGUGUGCGCAGCCCUCUGGUGAAAAAUGAUAUCAUAUCUGUUAAAUAGGGGCUGUGGACAAUUCUGAUUUGAUGGAGAAUGGACGUGAAAGCACAGAGGAGCAUCUGGAGAAAUUUCUGAAACGCCGGUUCACUGCUGUCAUUACUGUGUGGUCGGGAAUCUUUCGGAGGGUAGGCCUCAAAAUCCCCGGCCUUGCCUGCUUUUGGUGACCGAGAAUGAGAUCGAAUUGCUCGGACAGAGAUGACGCUCAGUACUCUGUGUCGGAGAGCUGAUCAGAGCUCGAAGUUUUCGGAUGACUCAGAGUCGGGUUGUGGUCGGCAUGGCAGGGAGAGUUUUUCUUCCUUCUCCCGUCUGCGUGAGAUGUGGGAUAUUUGAGAAACUUUGAACUGUACUGUGCUCAUGGACUUCUUCAUCAAGUUAUGGUAUUGUGCACUGUUGUAACUAUAUGUUAUAAUUAUGUGGUUUUACUCAGUUUUUUCAGUCUUGGUCUGUCCUGUGUUUUGUGAUAUCACACCGGAGGAAAUAAUGUAUCAUUUCUUAAUGCAUGCAUUACUAAAUGACAAUAAAGAGGACUGUGUGUCU